AACGCGAAGAACCUUACCUGGGCUUGACAUGUUCCUGACAACUGUGGAAACACAGUCUCCCUUCGGGGCAGGAUCACAGGUGGUGCAUGGCUGUCGUCAGCUCGUGUCGUGAGAUGUUGGGUUAAGUCCCGCAACGAGCGCAACCCCCGUCGCAUGUUGCCAGCAUUUAGUUGGGGACUCAUGCGAGACUGCCGGUGACAAACCGGAGGAAGGUGGGGAUGACGUCAAGUCAUCAUGCCCCUUAUGUCCAGGGCUACACACGUGCUACAUUGGCGCGUACAGAGGGCUGCGAUACCGCGAGGUGGAGCGAAUCCCUUAAAGCGCGUCUCGGUUCGGAUUGCAGGCUGAAACUCGCCUGCAUGAAGGCGGAGUUGCUAGUAAUCGCGGAUCAGCACUGCCGCGGUGAAUACGUUCCCGGGCCUUGUA
rnacentral:rRNA from 1 species